rnacentral:misc_RNA from 1 species
GGUUGUUUUACCAACCCCACCCAUACACACAAUAGGAAUAACACCAAGAUUACUCCCAUUUGCAUCACUGGACAGUAGCAGCUUAAUUAUGGCUUCCUUGUCAUCACUCCUACCAUAAACAACAGAUUCAUCAACCAGAGAAGUGGUUGGUAUUUUUUAUGAUGAUGGUUUCGCCCAAAUACCCUCACUCAAACCAAGGACAUCAUUUUCUUUUACUAAAUAUUCUAGUCUCUCAAGAAUAACUUAACUUUUCUUCCAUACCCUUUCUAAACGGAUUAUGAGGAGAAAAAAUGCCUCACCUUUUGUCUUCCAGACCCAGCUUCCACUCCCAAUCGUAGAGCUUUAAAAGCAAUCUCAUCCAACAAGACAUCAGCUUCAUAGACAGCAUCUUUAAGCUCAUCAAGUCUGCUUCUUCUCUGCAUCAUCAAGCACUCCAUUCACAGAUAUCAUAGUUGUCUUCAACUUCUUGAGCAAUGAAUCAUUAAGCUUUCGACCCUUGAAGAAAUCAAGAACCUCACGAGAAGCCAUCCUCUCUAACAGAACCUGAAGGAAAGCGGAGAGCAAUGACCCUCCCACCAACGCUUCUCCUCCUUGCGAAG